rnacentral:rRNA from 1 species
UGCCAGCAGCCGCGGUAAUACGGAGGGUGCAAGCGUUAUCCGGAUUUACUGGGUUUAAAGGGUGCGCAGGUGGAUCUUCAAGUCAGUGGUGAAUGCCCGCAGCUCAACUGCGGAACUGCCAUUGAUACUGUUGAUCUUGAAUAUAGUUGAGGUGGGCGGAAUGUAAUGUGUAGCGGUGAAAUGCAUAGAUAUGUUACAGAACACCUAUUGCGAAGGCAGCUUGCUAAACUAUUAUUGACACUGAGGCACGAAAGCGUGGGUAGCGAACAGGAUUAGAUA